GCUAAAAAUAAAAAAGAAAAAAGAAAAGCUCUCUAGUCUCCAACCCGCCCAACAAAAUCCAAAAAUGUACCCCCUACAAAUUUUUUACCAUCUCUACUAGACUAGAGAGGACUGGCUGGACUGCAAUGUCCAAAAAAAAUUUAAUAAAUAAAAAUAAAAAUAAAAUAGAAGUUUUUUCCUGCUUUCCGCUCAACACGCAAUCACCAUUUUGUCAACUUGACAAAAUUCACAAGGCACGCUGCAGAAGGGGAAAGGAGGCAAAGUUUGUUUUUCAAACAAAUCUCAAAUCUUACUCAAUCUCACAUUCUCAUCUCACCCAACCCAAACCCAAAGAAAAAGAGAAAUUUUUUGUAGUUGAAGAAAUACCAAAGGCAAGAGAAGCACACCAAGAUUGGUUGUACAUCCACCGAUCUGUUGACUGCUGUACAUCCACCGUCGUCUUCAGCUCGCCAUGACGCCGUCCACGCACCACCAGCAGAAGUGAACAGGGCAUCGUAUCGAAUACGAUUGGAGGUGAAGAUUAUCGGUCUACGUAUCUUGAUUCCUCGUCUACAAAUCGGAAUGUGAAGCUCAUGGAUUCGGAAACCUGGUCUUAAACGAUGAUGAUCAGUUGGCGAAGGUAGCUCAUAAUCUGCAACACCAUUUUGGUCACUCUUCUAUUUCUAGCUUAAGUCCAAAUAUAUUCUCUUCUAAUUCAAGCGUAAUAUUUUUCUUUUCUUUCCUUCUUUCUUUAUUUUAUUUUUAUUUAUUUUUAUUUUUUUGUGUGGGAUGAGGAUUUGAGCAAGUUAUGAACAUGCAAGAAUCAAUUCAAGUGGAGUUGG